GGAAGGAUCAUUAGCACUUUUACAUGACAACUCUAUCGUUUCGGUCGAGUGCGUGCGCGCAAGCGUGUGCGCUCGAUCGGGACGGUAGUCAGCCCCCAGUGAUGCGUUGAAGUACGGUAACAGUAUCCAUACCCUCUCUCCAACCUUGUGUUGGCGUGCAGGGUCACUGGGUGCUGUUGCCAACCAAAAAAUUAACGCCUUACCAAUGUGACUAAACCUCUCGAACGCGUGCAAACGCGAUCGAUUGUUAUAACCAUGAGACAACUUUUGACAACGGAUAUCUUGGUUCUCGCAACGAUGAAGAGCGCAGCGAAAUGCGAUACGUAAUGUGAAUUGCAGAAUUCAGUGAAUCAUCAAAUCCUUGAACGCAACUUGCGCUCGUGAGUCCUCUCACGAGCAUGCCUGUUUGAGUGUCGGUUUCCCAUCCUCACCCCAUUACACACGCAUGCGUGUGUUAUCCGGUUGGUGGAAGCCGAUUGGGAGUUGGGCAUGCUUCGUUGUGUGCUCAUCUCUUGAAACGAAUCGGUACUCUGAGGCGUCAUACACAAAGCAAACAGCCAAACCGGGGGCGUCACAAGCCUGCCGUUUGACCUGCUUUCUGGCCGCUACGAGCUCCAAAGUGCAUCAGUGAGUUGCGUACUCGAUUGACACGCUUAGAGCCAGGACGGAGAGCAUCAAGGGUCUGAACGGAAGCGCAUGUGACCAUAUUCCCGGUCUGGUUGCUUUUUUUGACGCGUCGUUUGCGGUACCGAACGCUUGGAAACAACGGACACGUGCGGCGGCUUCGGUCGUCGCAUGCGUCCCGCUUUCAACAUCGACCUCAAAUCAGGCAAGGCUACCCGCUGAAUUUAAGCAUAUCAAUAAGCGGAGGAAAAGAAACUAACCAGGAUUCCCCUAGUAACGGCGAGUGAAGAGGGAAGAGCUCAAAUUUGGAAUCUGCCGGGUACUACCUGUGCAGAAUUGUAGUUUUGUGAACGGCCUUACGGGUCGGCGUGCUGCGAUCGAAGUCCCUUGGAACAGGGCACCAGAGAGGGUGAGAGUCCCGUUCAUGGUUGCAGACAGCGUCGGCCAACACGUACUGCCGUCUCGACGAGUCGGGUUGUUUGGGAGUACAGCCCUAAAUUGGUGGUAAAUCUCAUCUAAAGCUAAAUACUGGCGAGAGACCGAUAGCGAACAAGUACCGUGAGGGAAAGAUGCAAAGAACCCUGAAAAGAGAGUUAAAAGUGCUUGAAAUUGUCAAAAGGGAAGCGAUUGGCACCAGUGUGUUGUCUGCGGCCGAAUCAGCCGGACGGCGUUGGUUGGUGAUUGUACGACGAGGGGUCCCUGGUGGCCUCCGUCGUGCGAAUGCCUGGCCGGCGUUGGACGGUGCACUUUGGUUGCAGACGGGUCAGCGUCGAUUAGGGAGGUCGAGAGAUGGGCCGGCGGAAGGUGGGCAGGCAUGAUUACAUGCUUGUCGUUACAGACGUCGGCACUCGGUAUCGCCUCUGCCUGAUCGAGGCGUCUUACAGACGUUUCAACGAGCGGCCUUCGGGUCGGGAGAACGGGUGGCCUGGCGAACGUCGACGGCGGGGACAGCAUGCUGUGCCUGUUGAUCGACGGUUGCCACCGCUGCCCUAUCACCAGCUCGUUAGGGAUGCUGACAAAAUGGUGUCAACCGACCCGUCUUGAAACACGGACCAAGGAGUCUAACAUGUAUGCGAGUAUUCGGGUGGCAAACCCGGGAUGCGCAAUGAAGGUGACAACUGGUGGGAGGCGCCUCGUGUGCCGCACCAUCGACCGCUCUGGAGAUUCUUCGAUAGAUGUGAGUGGGAGCAUACCUGUUGGGACCCGAAAGAUAGCGAACUAUGCUUGCAUAGGGUGAGGCCAGAAGAAAUUCUGGUGGAGGCUCGUAGCGAUACUGACGUGCAAAUCGUUCGUCAAAUGUGAGUAUAGCGGCGAAAGACUAAUCGAGCUAUCUAGUAGCUGGUUUCCUC
rnacentral:misc_RNA from 1 species